rnacentral:rRNA from 1 species
UACGGGGGGGGGCAAGCGUUGUUCGGAAUUACUGGGCGUAAAGGGCUCGUAGGCGGCCAACUAAGUCAGACGUGAAAUCCCCAGGCUCAACCUGGGAACUGCGUCUGAUACUGGAUGGCUUGAAUCCGGGAGAGGGAUGCAGAAUUCCAGGUGUAGCGGUGAAAUGCGUAAAUAUCUGGAGGAAUGCCGGUGGCGAAGGCGGCAUCCUGGACCGGCAUUGACGCUGAGGAGCGAAAGCUAGGGGAGCAAACGGG